rnacentral:misc_RNA from 1 species
GAUGAAGAACGCAGCGAAAUGCGAUAAGUAAUGUGAAUUGCAGAAUUCAGUGAAUCAUCGAAUCUUUGAACGCACAUUGCGCCCGCCAGUAUUCUGGCGGGCAUGCCUGUUCGAGCGUCAUUUCAACCAUCAAGCCCCAGGCUUGUGUUGGGGACCUGCGGCUGCCGCAGGCCCUGAAAACCAGUGGCGGGCUCGCUGUCACACCGGGCGUAGUAGAUUUUAUCUCGCUCAGGGCGUGCCGCGGGUUCCGGCCGUUAAAAAGCCUUUUUUACCCAAGGUUGACCUCGGAUCAGGUAGGAAGACCCGCUGAACUUAAGCAUAUCAAUAAGCGGAGGA